UACGAAGGGUGCAAGCGUUACUCGGAAUUACUGGGCGUAAAGCGUGCGUAGGUGGUUUUUUAAGUCCGUUGUGAAAGCCCUGGGCUCAACCUGGGAAUGGCAGUGGAUACUGGAAAGCUAGAGUGCGGUAGAGGGUAGUGGAAUUCCCGGUGUAGCAGUGAAAUGCGUAGAGAUCGGGAGGAACACCAGUGGCGAAGGCGGCUACCUGGACCAGCACUGACACUGAGGCACGAAAGCGUGGGGAGCAAACAGGG
rnacentral:rRNA from 1 species